rnacentral:tRNA from 1 species
UGGGGUGUAGCCAAGCUGGUAAGGCAACGGUUUUUGGUACCGUGUACCGCUGGUUCGAACCCAGCCACCCCAG